GUCUAUGGCCAGACCACCCUGAACACCCCCAAUCUCAUCUGAGCUCUGAAGCUAAACAGAGUUGGGCCUGGUUAGUACUUGGGUGGCCAAAAGGGAAUACAGAAUGUGGGAGUUU
rnacentral:rRNA from 1 species